GGUUAAGCGACUAAGCGUACACGGUGGAUGCCUUGGCAGUCAGAGGCGAUGAAGGACGUGCUAAUCUGCGAUAAGCGUCGGUGAGGUGAUAUGAACCGUUAUAACCGGCGAUUUCCGAAUGGGGAAACCCAGUGUGUUUCGACACACUAUCAUUAACUGAAUCCAUAGGUUAAUGAGGCGAACCGGGGGAACUGAAACAUCUAAGUACCCCGAGGAAAAGAAAUCAACCGAGAUUCCCCCAGUAGCGGCGAGCGAACGGGGAGGAGCCCAGAGCCUGAAUCAGUGUGUGUGUUAGUGGAAGCGUCUGGAAAGGCGCGCGAUACAGGGUGACAGCCCCGUACACAAAAAUGCACAUAUUGUGAGCUCGAUGAGUAGGGCGGGACACGUGGUAUCCUGUCUGAAUAUGGGGGGACCAUCCUCCAAGGCUAAAUACUCCUGACUGACCGAUAGUGAACCAGUACCGUGAGGGAAAGGCGAAAAGAACCCCGGCGAGGGGAGUGAAAAAGAACCUGAAACCGUGUACGUACAAGCAGUGGGAGCCUCUUAAUGGGGUGACUGCGUACCUUUUGUAUAAUGGGUCAGCGACUUAUAUUCUGUAGCAAGGUUAACCGAAUAGGGGAGCCGAAGGGAAACCGAGUCUUAACUGGGCGUUAAGUUGCAGGGUAUAGACCCGAAACCCGGUGAUCUAGCCAUGGGCAGGUUGAAGGUUGGGUAACACUAACUGGAGGACCGAACCGACUAAUGUUGAAAAAUUAGCGGAUGACUUGUGGCUGGGGGUGAAAGGCCAAUCAAACCGGGAGAUAGCUGGUUCUCCCCGAAAGCUAUUUAGGUAGCGCCUCGUGAAUUCAUCUCCGGGGGUAGAGCACUGUUUCGGCAAGGGGGUCAUCCCGACUUACCAACCCGAUGCAAACUGCGAAUACCGGAGAAUGUUAUCACGGGAGACACACGGCGGGUGCUAACGUCCGUCGUGAAGAGGGAAACAACCCAGACCGCCAGCUAAGGUCCCAAAGUCAUGGUUAAGUGGGAAACGAUGUGGGAAGGCCCAGACAGCCAGGAUGUUGGCUUAGAAGCAGCCAUCAUUUAAAGAAAGCGUAAUAGCUCACUGGUCGAGUCGGCCUGCGCGGAAGAUGUAACGGGGCUAAACCAUGCACCGAAGCUGCGGCAGCGACACUAUGUGUUGUUGGGUAGGGGAGCGUUCUGUAAGCCUGUGAAGGUGGCCUGUGAGGGUUGCUGGAGGUAUCAGAAGUGCGAAUGCUGACAUAAGUAACGAUAAAGCGGGUGAAAAGCCCGCUCGCCGGAAGACCAAGGGUUCCUGUCCAACGUUAAUCGGGGCAGGGUGAGUCGACCCCUAAGGCGAGGCCGAAAGGCGUAGUCGAUGGGAAACAGGUUAAUAUUCCUGUACUUGGUGUUACUGCGAAGGGGGGACGGAGAAGGCUAUGUUGGCCGGGCGACGGUUGUCCCGGUUUAAGCGUGUAGGCUGGUUUUCCAGGCAAAUCCGGAAAAUCAAGGCUGAGGCGUGAUGACGAGGCACUACGGUGCUGAAGCGACAAAUGCCCUGCUUCCAGGAAAAGCCUCUAAGCAUCAGGUAACAUCAAAUCGUACCCCAAACCGACACAGGUGGUCAGGUAGAGAAUACCAAGGCGCUUGAGAGAACUCGGGUGAAGGAACUAGGCAAAAUGGUGCCGUAACUUCGGGAGAAGGCACGCUGAUAUGUAGGUGAAGCGACUUGCUCGUGGAGCUGAAAUCAGUCGAAGAUACCAGCUGGCUGCAACUGUUUAUUAAAAACACAGCACUGUGCAAACACGAAAGUGGACGUAUACGGUGUGACGCCUGCCCGGUGCCGGAAGGUUAAUUGAUGGGGUUAGCGGUAACGCGAAGCUCUUGAUCGAAGCCCCGGUAAACGGCGGCCGUAACUAUAACGGUCCUAAGGUAGCGAAAUUCCUUGUCGGGUAAGUUCCGACCUGCACGAAUGGCGUAAUGAUGGCCAGGCUGUCUCCACCCGAGACUCAGUGAAAUUGAACUCGCUGUGAAGAUGCAGUGUACCCGCGGCAAGACGGAAAGACCCCGUGAACCUUUACUAUAGCUUGACACUGAACAUUGAGCCUUGAUGUGUAGGAUAGGUGGGAGGCUUUGAAGUGUGGACGCCAGUCUGCAUGGAGCCGACCUUGAAAUACCACCCUUUAAUGUUUGAUGUUCUAACGUGGGCCCCUUACCGGGGUUGCGGACAGUGUCUGGUGGGUAGUUUGACUGGGGCGGUCUCCUCCUAAAGAGUAACGGAGGAGCACGAAGGUUGGCUAAUCCUGGUCGGACAUCAGGAGGUUAGUGCAAUGGCAUAAGCCAGCUUGACUGCGAGCGUGACGGCGCGAGCAGGUGCGAAAGCAGGUCAUAGUGAUCCGGUGGUUCUGAAUGGAAGGGCCAUCGCUCAACGGAUAAAAGGUACUCCGGGGAUAACAGGCUGAUACCGCCCAAGAGUUCAUAUCGACGGCGGUGUUUGGCACCUCGAUGUCGGCUCAUCACAUCCUGGGGCUGAAGUAGGUCCCAAGGGUAUGGCUGUUCGCCAUUUAAAGUGGUACGCGAGCUGGGUUUAGAACGUCGUGAGACAGUUCGGUCCCUAUCUGCCGUGGGCGCUGGAGAACUGAGGGGGGCUGCUCCUAGUACGAGAGGACCGGAGUGGACGCAUCACUGGUGUUCGGGUUGUCAUGCCAAUGGCACUGCCCGGUAGCUAAAUGCGGAAGAGAUAAGUGCUGAAAGCAUCUAAGCACGAAACUUGCCCCGAGAUGAGUUCUCCCUGACUCCUUGAGAGUCCUGAAGGAACGUUGAAGACGACGACGUUGAUAGGCCGGGUGUGUAAGCGCAGCGAUGCGUUGAGCUAACCGGUACUAAUGAACCGUGAGGCUUAACCUU
rnacentral:rRNA from 2 species